rnacentral:rRNA from 1 species
ACCUGCCCUAUGAAUAAUUUGCUUUUAAAUGGCUGCGGUACUCUGACCGUGCAAAGGUAGCAUAAUAAUUAGUUUCUUAAUUGGGAACUGGAAUGAAUGGUCGAACGAGAAAAAGACUGUCUCAAUUUAAUUUAAAUUAGAAUUUUAUUUUUAAGUAAAAAAGCUUAAAUGUUCUUAAAAGACGAGAAGACCCUAUAGAGUUUUAUAUAAGUUAUUAUAAUUGAAAGUUAAAGUAUCUAAGAUUUGAUUAUAAUAAUUUAUAUUUGGUUGGGGCGAUUAAAAAAUUUAAUAAACUUUUUUUAAAUUAAACCAUUAAUUUAUGAGUAGGUGAUCCAUAUUUUAUGAUUAAAAGAUU